rnacentral:rRNA from 1 species
AUGUGAUCGUCUCUCGCAUAUCAAUAAGCGGAGGAAAAGAAACUAACAAGGGAUUCCCCUAGUAACGGCGAGUGAAGCGGGAAGAGCUCAAAUUUGAAAUCUUAAAGGGUUUCCCUUUACGAAUUGUAGUUUAAAGAAGUGUUUUCUGUUGAGGUUUUGGUAAAAGUUCUUUGGAAUAGGACAUCAUAGAGGGUGAGAAUCCCGUAUUUGACCUUUACUUUCAACUUUGUGAUACACUUUCAAAGAGUCGGAUUGUUUGGGAAUGCAGUCCAAAAUGGGUGGUAAAUUUCAUCUAAAGCUAAAUAUUGGCGAGAGACCGAUAGCGAACAAGUACCGUGAGGGAAAGAUGAAAAGAACUUUGAAAAGAGAGUUAAACAGUACGUGAAAUUGUCAAAAGGGAAGCGUUUGACACCAGUGUUGUUUUUCUGAAAAUCAAUUAAAGAACUGUUUAUGCUAAGCUGUUUAGACUUUAUCAGCUAACUGUUUAGUUUUGAGCUUUUCUUUAAUGCACUUUUCAGUUAACAAGUCAACAUCAAUUUCUUUUGCUGUAAAAAAGCUUGAGGAAGGUGGCUUGAGAUUCGUCUUAAGUGUUUAUAGCCUCUUGCCUAUGCAGUCGGAGAGAUUGAGGUCUGCAGCGUAGAUCCUUCGGGGCUAAAUGCAUUUGUGCUAAGUUAUAGCAUUUUAUAGACAACUUGUUGACUAUGAUUUGUCUUGUAGCUUACUCGCUUAUGUUAUUUUACCUACGCUUAGGAUGUUGAGUCGUAGAGCACGCAG